CCACCUUUUCCAUCACUGGGUUCCCCCACCCCGUAAGUGCUCUUGCUUCCUAGAGAAAGAUCUCCCUAGGGCCAGGUAAAUCAGGGUGAAAGGCCAUGCCUUUGGAAGUGUCCCAGCAGUGAGGUCACUGGGCAGUAACUUGGAGAGGUGAGAAAAGAGGAGUGACCAAAGAGGUGACUUCCCCGGACAGUCCCCCAAAAGACAAGAUGCAUGCUUACAUGCAUGCAAUUGGUCCCUGAGAUUCGAGGCCCAGAGGAGGAUGACUUAUCCAGAUGCUCCCCCAAAAGACAAGAUGCAUGCUUACAUGCAUGCAAUUGGUCCCUGAGAUUUGAGGCCCAGAGGAAGAUGACUUAUCCAGAUGGUCCCCCAAAAGACAAUAUGCCUGCUUUCAUGCAUGCAAUUGGUCCCUGAGAUUGGAGGCCCAGAGGGAGAUGAAUUCUCCAGACGGUACCCCAGAAGACAAGAUGCAUGCUUACAUGCAUGCAAUUGGUCCCUGAGAUUUGAGGCCCAGAGGAAGAUGACUUCUCCAGACAGUCCCCCAAAAGACAAGAUGCAUGUUUUACAUGCAUGCAAUCGGUUCCUGAGAUUCGAGGCCCAGAGGAAGAUGACUUAUCCAGAUGGUCCCCCAAAAGACAAGAUGUGCACAUAUAUGCAUGCAGUUGGUCCCUGAGACCUGAGGUCUAGAAGGGCUCUCUUCCAAUACCCUCAAAUAUUUCCCCACCCCAACUAAUGCUUCCUUCCUUGCCGUGUCGAGGGACCGCAGGCCUGACUGCACUCUCUUGCAGGAGGGUGUGACUGUGGCUUUGGGCAAUAGCCACAGGCAGGUUUCAUCUGUAAUCCUUUCGUAGUCAGCAGACUGGCCUGCCACCACCUUGAGUCUACCACUUCCAAGAGUGUAGGGACAAAGCAGCUGUUCACAGGGCCAAAAAUCCAUGCAGAUAGAGGCACAUCAUUCACCCCCACUCACUGAGCCCCACUCUGCACCAGGGAUUCUUCGGGAGGCAGUGCGCUACCAGACCAUGCUUCCUUAGCAUUCAUUCUGGAUUUGUAGGGAGGCUACUACGUGCUAAGCACUGCACAGGGCCUAAAUGGGGAGAGCAACAGGAGGUUCACAAAACAGAGCAGAUCAGGGAUGGCUGCUCUGGUCUUCCGGGAUGUGCAGGGCCACCAACCCUUUCUGGCCCCUUCCCCCGCAUGUCCUCCUGAUGCUCCUCCCUGCCUCUGCCCCGAGCUCUGGGCCCUCUCUGUCCUCCUCUCCUGCCAGUUCACCCCUGAUGAUAUUCCUAUUUAAAAAUAAAUCACUGCAGUCUUUAAUUGCAGACUAAAUAAUUGCUUCAUUUUAUUUAAAUGUGGCUCUUGGAGGCUCUGGAAACAAUUAGAAGAAAACAUAGGGCAGUGCUGGGUGCAUGUUUUCAAGCAUAUAAUUUUUUUUUGUUAUUAUCAUACCGACGUUCGUAGGAUCUGGAAAAAGAAAGUGUGGCCCUCCUCCCGAGUUAGUCAUGCAUAAUUUACAUGCAAUAAUAAUAAUAAUAAUGAUAAUAAUAAUAAUUCCUGGCUUUUCCCAUAUUUCAUGCUUGGCUCCCAAGGAAGCUGGGCAGUCGUCACUGUGCUCUUUCCGGAAGGAGAGAGGUAAGAGCAGGCCCAGCUAUCCCUCUGCAGACCUUUCAGAAGUGACAGCAGCCUGGUCCUUCUGUCCGGAGGCUGGGUUUGAGGUGGGCCCAGAGCUGGCCUGCAUGUGUGUGGUCUAAGUCCUAAGAGGUUCCCCGGUCGGACCUCUCACCAUGUCUACAAUUCCAGCCUUCAUCCAGAUACAGUGUGAGAGCCAGAUAGGGCCUUGGAACUCGUCUUUUUAUAAUAGAGGCAGCCAGGCCCCCAAGAAGUAAUCUUACCCUCAGGUUACAAAGCUUGUUAGUAGCAGAACAAGAAAGAAGACUCGGUGUGUGAAAUAGGUGAGCAGGGUCCUUAGAACCAGGAAGACCUAGGUCUGGGUGCCUCUGCUGCCACAUCACUGUUGGUGCAAUCCUGGGCCCAUUUCUUGGUCUCUUUGUGCCUGUGUCUUAUUUUGGAAAAUAAACUGGAAAAUAAUAAUACUUGUUUAUCAUGAGGAAUCAAGAAUGGAAUAUAUGCAAAAGCUUCCAGCACAGCACCUGUGCACCAUGGAGGCUCAUCAGCAUUCACCUGUUCUUCCCAAAGCUCUGCAGUCUUCAGGAGUCUGCUGUUUACAUGCAAAUGUCCCUGGGAGGGGCAGUGCCUUUGACUCCUGGAGGACAGUAAGGGCUAUGUGACUCCUGGAGGACAGUAGGGCCCUUGAGCCUGGAAGGUAGCUAUGGAGAGGGAGGAGAAGGAAGAGGAAGAUGACAUCACCCCGGCCCUCUGUCCAGCCUGAUCUUGCGUGGACCAUGCUGAGACACCCAUGCUGAGACACCUGCUGCUUU
rnacentral:lncRNA from 10 species